rnacentral:tRNA from 1 species
AUUUAUAUAAUAUAUAUAUAG